rnacentral:rRNA from 1 species
GAUGAACGCUGGCGGCGUGCCUAAUACAUGCAAGUCGAGCGAACAGACGAGGAGCUUGCUCCUCUGACGUUAGCGGCGGACGGGUGAGUAACACGUGGAUAACCUACCUAUAAGACUGGGAUAACUUCGGGAAACCGGAGCUAAUACCGGAUAAUAUAUUGAACCGCAUGGUUCAAUAGUGAAAGACGGUUUUGCUGUCACUUAUAGAUGGAUCCGCGCCGCAUUAGCUAGUUGGUAAGGUAACGGCUUACCAAGGCAACGAUGCGUAGCCGACCUGAGAGGGGGAUCGCCCACACUGGAACUGGGACACGGUCCAGACUCCUACGGGAGGCAGCAGUAGGGAAUCUUCCGCAAUGGGCGAAAGCCUGACGGAGCAACGCCGCGUGAGUGAUGAAGGUCUUCGGAUCGUAAAACUCUGUUAUUAGGGAAGAACAAAUGUGUAAGUAACUAUGCACGUCUUGACGGUACCUAAUCAGAAAGCCACGGCUAACUACGUG